AUGAACGCUGGCGGCGUGCCUCAUACCUGCAAGUCGAGCGAACAGAUGAGGAGCUUGCUCCUCUGACGUUAGCGGCGGACGGGUGAGUAACACGUGGAUAACCUACCUAUAAGACUGGGAUAACUUCGGGAAACCGGAGCUAAUACCGGAUAAUAUAUUGAACCGCAUGGUUCAAUAGUGAAAGACGGUUUUGCUGUCACUUAUAUAUGGAUCCGCGCCGCAUUAGCUAGUUGGUAAGGUAACGGCUUACCAAGGCAACGAUGCGUAGCCGACCUGAGAGGGUGAUCGGCCACACUGGAACUGAGACACGGUCCAGACUCCUACGGGAGGCAGCAGUAGGGAAUCUUCCGCAAUGGGCGAAAGCCUGACGGAGCAACGCCGCGUGAGUGAUGAAGGUCUUCGGAUCGUAAAACUCUGUUAUUAGGGAAGAACAAAUGUGUAAGUAACUAUGCACGUCUUGACGGUACCUAAUCAGAAAGCCACGGCUAACUACGUG
rnacentral:rRNA from 1 species